UGUUCUGUGGCUUAGUUGGUUACAGCGCCGGUCUAGCGAAUACGGAGUCGUGGGUUCGAAUCCCACCAGAACGC
rfam:Aedes albopictus isolate Foshan contig86297, whole genome shotgun sequence.